rnacentral:rRNA from 1 species
UACGAAAGUGGCUAGCGUUGUUCGGAAUCACUGGGCGUAAAGCGCGCGUAGGCGGCGAUUCAAGUCAGAGGUGAAAUGCCCAGGCUCAACCUGGGAACUGCCUUUGAAACUGUAUCGCUUGAGUACUGGAGGGGAGCGGGGAAUUCCUAAUGUAGAGGUGAAAUUCGUAGAUAUUAGGAGGAACACCGGUGGCGAAGGCGCCGCUCUGGACAGUCACUGACGCUGAGGCGCGAAAGCGUGGGGAUCAAACAGG